rnacentral:rRNA from 1 species
UACGUAGGGUGCGAGCGUUAAUCGGAAUUACUGGGCGUAAAGCGUGCGCAGGCGGUUUUGUAAGCCAGAUGUGAAAGCCCCGGGCUUAACCUGGGAAUGGCAUUUGGGACUGCAAGGCUCGAGUGCGGCAGAGGAGACUGGAAUUCCUGGUGUAGCAGUGAAAUGCGUAGAUAUCGUUUGGAACGCCAAUGGUGAAAACAAGUAGCUGGGGAUGUGCCGACGCUGAGACACGAAAGCCAGGGGAGCGAACGGG